UCUGGUUGAUCCUGCCAGAGGCCAUUGCUAUCAGGGUUUGACUAAGCCAUGCGAGUCGAGAGGUGUAAGACCUCGGCAUACUGCUCAGUAACACGUGGUUAACCUGCCCUAAGGUGGAGAAUACUCCCGGGAAACUGGGGCUAAUGCUCCAUAGUGGAUAUGUCCUGGAAUGGUAUAUCCUCGAAAGAUCCGUCGCCUUAGGAUGGGACUGCGUCCGAUUAGGUUGUUGGCGGGGUAACGGCCCACCAAGCCUUUUAUCGGUACGGGUUGUGGGAGCAAGAUCCCGGAGAUGGAUUCUGAGACAUGAAUCCAGGCCCUACGGGGCGCAGCAGGCGCGCAAACUUUACAAUGCGAGCAAUCGUGAUAAGGAAACCCUGAGUGCCUGUCGAUGCAGGCUGUUCAUAUAUCUAAAUCAUAUGUGAAGAAAGGGCAGGGCAAGACCGGUGCCAGCCGCCGCGGUAAUACCGGCUGCUCGAGUGAUGGCCACUAUUACUGGGUUUAAAGCGUCCGUAGCUUGACUGUUAGGUCUCUUGGGAAAUCUUCGCGCUCAACGUGAAGGCGUCUAAGAGAUACCGGCAGUCUUGGAACUGGGAGAGGUAAACCGUACUUCGGGGGUAGGAGUGAAAUCUUGUAAUCCUCGAGGGACGACCUAUGGCGAAGGCAGUUUACCAGAACAGCUUCGACAGUGAGGGACGAAAGCUGGGGAGCAAACGGGAUUAGAUACCC
rnacentral:rRNA from 1 species